GGGGGCAACAGUCCCCUUACACCAGCCUGCUUUUCUUUAAAUUUGGUAGACAUACCACAGCUGUGGUCCUAAUGUAGCCAUUUUGGUAUCAUCAGCUGCUGGGGCUCCCUUCCUUCCAGCUGGCCACAUUAUUUAGCAGUCACGAGAUCUGGAUGAGACAGCUGGUGUGCCCACAUCAGGGACAAAAGAGGAGGUUUCCUUAGCAACAUGAAUCAUAUGAAAUAUGUCAGGAGAGCUCUUUCCUUAAAGUCACUCCUUCAGUGGUUUGCACCAUACGCUGGCUCUCCACAGACAACAAGGACCUGAUUCAUAAUGCACCUGGUGUGGUAAUGGCUACCUUUCAAAAAGAGCGCUACCACAGGUGCCAACUCUCCAUAAUCUGUAUCAGAAGAUUCCAUUGCAUUUUAAAUGUCACCUGAUGCAGAUUUGCAUUUGGGGAGUAUUACUCCUAGUUUUAUAGCCAACUGUUCUGUAAAGGGAGUCUGUAGUAGUUCUGCAUCUGUCACCUAUAUUUUUGUAUUGUAAUGAUG